ACGAACGCUGGCGGCGUGCUUAACACAUGCAAGUCGAAUGGAAAGGCCCUGCUUGCAGGGUACUCGAGUGGCGAACGGGUGAGUAACACGUGGGUGAUCUGCCCUGCACUUCGGGAUAAGCCUGGGAAACUGGGUCUAAUACCGGAUAGGAGCCAUUUUUAGUGUGAUGGUUGGAAAGUUUUUUCGGUGUAGGAUGAGCUCGCGGCCUAUCAGCUUGUUGGUGGGGUAAUGGCCUACCAAGGCGGCGACGGGUAGCCGGCCUGAGAGGGUGGACGGCCACAUUGGGACUGAGAUACGGCCCAGACUCCUACGGGAGGCAGCAGUGGGGAAUAUUGCACAAUGGGCGCAAGCCUGAUGCAGCGACGCCGCGUGGGGGAUGACGGCCUUCGGGUUGUAAACUCCUUUCGCUAGGGACGAAGCUUUUUGUGACGGUACCUAGAUAAGAAGCACCGGCUAACUACGUG
rnacentral:rRNA from 1 species